GGGUGAAACGCACAACAGUGGGUUACACAGGUAGCAUAUGAGGACACCCCCUAGUGGCCGAGAACUGCACAGUUGCGACAUCAUGGCAUUCUGAUUGGAUGAUUCUGACUACGUUUGGCUCUCGGCACGAGACGUGGUCGUCUUACGAGAUGGCUUCGAUCAUGUCCAGGCCCAUCUCAACGCAGCAGUGGGCGUGGUCAGCACGGGCCUCGGGAAGGCCCGACACGCAGUAAUAGCAGUCACCAAGGAUCUUGAUGCGGAGGCAGUGAUUCUCCUGAGGACACAUCAGAAACGUGCGCAUCAAUACAUGGGAGAUUUUGUGAAACAUCAUGUCCUCCUGCUUGGCGUUGAUGUCCGCCUUCAUCUCCAUGGCGACGUGGCGGGGGAGCACCGACAGCAGCAGACGCUCCUGCAGAGAAAGGGAUCCAUGUUGUUCUGCAUCCAGGACAGGCCGACGUGCAGGGCGGACAGCAGCAGUCCGGUGACCACUGCAGCUCGCAUGCGGACGGGUAGCAACGUGUAGACCACGUGGAUGAAGAAGACGG